AUUGAACGCUGGCGGCAGGCCUAACACAUGCAAGUCGAACGAGUGGCGGACGGGUGAGUAAUGUCUGGGAAACUGCCUGAUGGAGGGGGAUAACUACUGGAAACGGUAGCUAAUACCGCAUACCAUCAGAUGUGCCCAGAUUGGCUUAGCUUGUUGGUGGGGUAACGGCUCACCAAGGCGACGAUCCCUAGCUGGUCUGGGAGGAUGACCAGCCACACUGGAGCUGAGACGCGGUCCAGGCUCCUACGAGAGGCAGCAGUGGGGAAUAUUGCGCAGUGGGCGCAAGCCGGAUGCAACCGUGCCGCGUGUGUGGAGGGGGCCUUCGGGUUGUAAAGUACUUUCAGCGGGGGGGCGUUACCCGCAGAAGAAGCACCGGCUAACUCCGUGCCAGCAGCCGCGGUAAUUC
rnacentral:rRNA from 1 species